ACCCCCGAGGCCAGCAAUGGCCAGGCUGGACGAGAUGGGCACCUGGCCUCUCCCGAAUCCCAGGAGCACCCAGCAGUUCUGAAGGGCCUGGGAAAGGGGUGACUUUAACCCCCAAUGCCCAGAACAUGGCUCUUUCUCUAGCUGGGCUGGGUGUUGGAGUGUCAGAACAGCUAACCUUCCUUGGCAAUGUCCUCCACCAGCAUGCGGCCCAGCCUCCCUGUGUAUAAGGCCUCCACACCCUCUGUGGCCACGGUCUCCAGGGUGUUGACCAGUGCAGGCCACGGAAAUGGGUCCUGAGAUCUCAAGGUUUCUGUCCCAUUGAAGAAGAGCUGUCUGGGGUGGGGGUUGUGGGGAGGAGGGGGCAACCUCAGAUUGACGCCAGAUCCCAGCGGACACUCACAUUCCUCUGGGCUCUAGGGAAAUCUUCAGGAUGCUUCUGCGGGAAUAGCCAUGGUCCAGCACUGAAGCUCUAGGGAGCUGGUUCUCUAGAAAUAGCUGGGGCUGGUGUCUCCACCCUCACUCCUGGCUCUGGAAUUUUUCUGAUAUGUUUCCCAGGGUCACCUUGCCACCUACCUAUCACUGAGCUAGCAGAGCAAGCUGAAGGGGUUAUCCAAAUACCCCAAAGAGAAGCUGGAGGAAGCCAGAGCUGAAGGGGUAUGGCAUCCGUAGCCUAAGUUAGGGUCUGGCCAGAGACAAGCAUUGGCUACCCUGGCUAUAGGGGCUUUGGCCCCUUAGGGUCAACCCUCCAGCUGAGGAAUGACUGAGGCACAGCUCGACAGUGGCUGAGCUCAGGGGGUGUCACACGAGGGCCCACCUGUUGUGGCGUUGUAGAUGGUGAAGAUGACCCCUCCGCCCAGGCCCAUGCUCUGUGGGUUAACGACGCCGGUACAGAUCAAGGCUGCGAUGGCCGCAUCCGUGGGUGAGCCCUGCUGCUGGAGGAUGGCCCUAGGGGACAUGACACAGAAUCGGUGAUCUGGCUGCUGCCCUACCCCAGCUCUGCCUGGGCUCAUGUGACUGGCAUUUACUGGGAAACAGUGACAGGUUGAGAGUCUCUCUGCUGGCACCAAAUCCCAAGUUAGCCUAUGACAAUGCACUUCGGCUUCCUCAUCUGUCCAAGGGGCAGGUCCUUCAACUCCAAAAUGUUGGUGAGACUGGUCUACGUCACGGUGGCACUGUGCCAGGAAGUACAGCUUACACAGCUCACCAAGGAUUGCCCCUCCCUUCACACCUAGAGACCCUCCCCAGAACCACUAGGAUUACUGUUUAACCCCCAGGUACCACAAGGAAUUUAAGGACCACGGGAGUGGACCUUGGUCUCCUCCCAUAACUCCAUGGGACCUCUGACCCCAUACCUUCCCUUGACUCACUUUACCUGUGACCCAACCAGCCCAUCCUGGACUCUGCCUCACUGUGGUUCCUUAGCCUAAAUGUUAGUAUACAUGGGAACCCCAUCAUCACACAGGUCAUCUUGGAAUGGGAAGGAACCAGAAGCAUAAACAAAACUAGACUGCCAGA